GGUUUAAUUCGAUGAUACGCGAGGAACCUUACCCGGGCUUGAAUUGCAGAGGAAGGAUUUGGAGACAAUGACGCCCCUCGGGGCCUCUGUGAAGGUGCUGCAUGGUUGUCGUCAGCUCGUGCCGUGAGGUGUCGGCUUAAGUGCCAUAACGAGCGCAACCCCUCUCCUUAGUUGCCAUCAGGUAAGGCUGGGCACUCUGAGGACACUGCCACCGUAAGGUGUGA
rnacentral:rRNA from 1 species